rnacentral:ncRNA from 2 species
AAUCAUUUCAUACGAAUUCCUUAUAUAUCUAUGGUGAUAUGGACCAUAAGUCUCUACCUGGCAGCCGUAAAAUGCCGGACUAUAAGGAAAGUUGAAUCACAG